rnacentral:lncRNA from 1 species
AGUAUUCAUGUGGAACAUUGGCCUGUAGUUUUCUUAUUUUGAUGUCUCUGUCUGAUUUUGGUAUCAGGGUAAUACUGGCCUCACAGAAUGAAAUGCUUUGAUGUCUUAAAUGGUACAUCCAAACUUAAGUGAAAUAGAGCUGUGAGGACAUUUUGGGGAGAAGUGACCUAGAUAAGCACUGACUGUUGCAUUCAUCUCUCUUCUUGCUGAUUGUGAUGAUUUCCUGUGCCAUAGCCAUUCAAAGUCUGCCAAAAAAGCUAGCAUGUAAUUUUCUUUCUCUACUUCUCUACAUUUGGAGGAUGGAAAUGUAGAUGUUCUUCCAUUGUGCCAGCCUCCUCAUUCUUCUUUCUCCAAUGCCGCAUCUUCCUGCAAACUUCCUGCCACAACUCAAACAACAGGAAAAUAAAUGAUCUGAAAUCCUCCUGAACUGCAGCCUACCUAUCGUGGUCUCUAUGGGUGCAAACUUCCUUCCAGAAGCUUGUUCAGCUGGCUAAAACAGGACAUUUGCCAAUGCAGCCAAAAGUUGGGUCUUAUACUGGCUACCUCCUAUGCAGAGUGAAAAACUUUUCUUUCUCCCACAGCCACAGACAUCGCUCCUCUUCCAGCUCAACAUCUUUCAAAGGGAUGGCUCUCAGUCCCGAAAUGAAAAGAAAAGGUGGCUUGGUGCAAAUCAUUCUCUUUAUCAGCAAAAGAAAUACCAAAGCCUGUGUCCUUCUGACAUAGUGAGCUGUCGAGGUAGUCCAGGGAAAAGAUGACAGUGAAUUGAGUUAUGGGAUGGCAAUGGAGACUGAAAAGAAUCUGUGUUUAUUAUAUGUAUAUAUAUCAUUAAGGUAGAACUAGUGGAUUUUCUCUGGCACUGCACAUGGGAAGCAAGUGAAGGAGAGUGAUCUAGAAUGACGCCACCAUUUUUGCCUGAGAAAUUCAGUACUCAGAGGUGUCUGUCAUUCAGAGAGAUGGAGGAAACAAGAAGAGGAGCAAGUUGGGGGAGAGGGUAAGCAGAAUCAAAAACUGUGUUGAUACAUUAACUUUAGGAUGCAUAGUAGACAUCAGAGUACAGAUGGAGUUUAGGAGCAAAGUUAUAUAGAGAGAUAAAUUUGAGAACCUGUAAUUCUUUUAUUUGUGGCAGAUAAUUAGACAAAUGAUUUCUAAAUAUUCCCAUGACUACUACAGAACAUCAAUAAAUUCCUUAAUAAUACUAGAAGGAGAAAUGUGGUUUAAAUUUUCCCAGGGGUUUUCUAACCUUUCAGCAAUUCUCUUUCUUUUCAGCAAAUGUUUGGUAAUUAUGCUGGAAUAUUGGGGUGGGGGUGCUUUCUUU